AUAAAUGUCCAAAAAACUCUGGUGAUUUGAGACAUAUACAGCUGGAGAAUUCUUGGGGGGUAGAUUUUCUAAUCCCUGAAUCUUUACUUUAAAAAAUGGAUAAACACUCAUACAUGCCCAAAUUUUGGCAAUUAAAUGAUGAAAGUUUCUUUGGUAUCCAUCUCUUAACACCACAAAUGGAUGUGAUAUCACCAUUAACACAAAUAAAAAUAAAGCAAUAAUUGAUGUCACGCUAUAAAAGCAAACCCCUCUAACUUUUGAGAUCAAUUGGAACUCUGCAUACAAAGGAAUUUUCAAAAAAAUAAAUUAUUAAAUGAAAGAAAUAGCAAUGUGCUUUUGUAUCAUUGUAUUUUCGGUUUUUUUUAUUCUUAUUAAAGCAAUGUAGUUUGGAAAUUUUACUAAAGUUAAUGUAUUCUAUUUUGAAUUAUUUUUUUUUCUUAUCAUAGCAGUGAAAAUUGCUUUGUAUUUAUUUAGAUAAGGGUUAAUGUCAUAAAAGACCUUAUAUUUUGUGUUUUUUCCGGAUUAAACCUUUGCUUUAUUUUUUUCUUGAAAAAGACUUCGUAUUUUUUCCGAUAAAACCCUCAACUUUCCAAAUGCUUCCAGAUAAACCCUCAACUUUUUUAGUUUUUCUCGAAAAAACCCUCAGAUUUUAUAAUUUUUUUAAAAAAAAAUGACUGAAAGGGUUUUAGAUAGGAAAAAAUAAAAAAAUACAAGGUCUUUCUCAAGAAAAAAAAAUAAAAAAAUUGAGGUUUAAUCCAGAAAAAACUCAAAAAUAUAAGGUCUUUUUUGACACUAACCCUUUCUUUACAAAAAAAACCCUCAUCCUUCUAACUAUUUCCUAAAAAACCCUCAACUUUUUGCGGUGCACCCACCACUACAAUUCACGUACAAAAGGAGAAAACAGAAAAAGAUGCUCAAAGGGCAGGGGACCACUACCAAUCACAAUGAUCCUGCUGAGGUGGAGGAAGAGCAGGGGUAUAUUGGGAAUUAACAGCAAAAGUGGGCAGUGCAGUUAUAAGAAGUGGGGGGCAGAGCAUUGCAUUUUAGGCAGGCAGAAUAUUUUAGAAGAUUCAUCUUCUUUUGGGAGACCAUAGCAUCUCGAAUCGCUAUAUCUAUCCUUUUCUUCAUUUGUUUCCAAUUGUUCUUAAUUGUCCCUGUUGUUUCUUGAACAUUGCGUGAUAGAAAGUUGAUUCUGUUGUCAUUACUGUGUUCUAUUUAUCAAGUCAGUAAGUUCAUAACACUUUUUUAUUUUUUUUUCCGAAAAAAAACCUCGCGUUUACAAGUUUUUCGAGAAAAAAAAA
rnacentral:lncRNA from 1 species